UACGAAGGGGGCUAGCGUUGCUCGGAAUUACUGGGCGUAAAGGGAGCGUAGGCGGAUAGUUAAGUCAGAGGUGAAAGCCCAGGGCUCAACCUUGGAAUUGCCUUUGAUACUGGCUAUCUUGAGUAUGGGAGAGGUAAGCGGAACUCCGAGUGUAGAGGUGAAAUUCGUAGAUAUUCGGAAGAACACCAGUGGCGAAGGCGACUUACUGGACACAUAUUGACGCUGAGGUGCGAAAGCGUGGGGAGCAAACAGG
rnacentral:rRNA from 1 species